rnacentral:rRNA from 1 species
GGUAUGCUAGUCGAACGACCAGAACUAUGUCUGGAAGUGGCACACUGCUCAGUAACACGUAGCUAACCUACCCUAGGACGUGGAUACCCCCCCGAGAAAUUGGGGUUAAUCCGCGAUAGGUGUAAUGUCCUGGAAUGGUAUUACGCUAAAGGUGUAUCAUACAUGUUUGAUAUACGCCUAAGGAUGGGGCUGCGGCCGAUCAGGCUGUUGGUGAGGUAAUGGCUCACCAAACCUUUGACCGGUACGGGCCAUGAGAGUGGUAGCCCGGAGAUGGACACUGAGACAAGGGUCCAGGCCCUAAGGGGCGCAGCAACCGCGAAACCUCCACAAUGCACUCACGUGCGAUGGGGCUAUCUCGAGUGCCACCUGAUGAAGGUGGCUUUUCCUAGGUCUUCAAAGCCUUGGGAAUAAGAGGGGGGCAAGACUGGUGUCAGCCGCCGCGGUAACACCAGCCCCUCGAGUGGGUGGGGAUGAUUAUUUGGCCUAAAGCGUCCGUAGCCGGCCGAGCAAGUCUUCCGUUAAAUCCAGCGUCUCAAGCGUUGGACUGCGGGAGAUACUACACGGCUAGAGAGUGGGAGAGGUCAGCGGUAUUCUGGGGGUAGGGGCGAAAUCCUUUGAUCCCCGGAGGACCACCAGUGGCGAAGGCUGCUGACUAGAACACGUCUGACGGUCAGGGACGAAAGCUGGGGUAGCGAACCGGAUUAGAUACCCGGGUAGUCCCAGCCGUAAACGAUGCAUGCUAGGUGUUGGGUUGGCCACGAGCCACCCCAGUGCCGCAGGGAAGCCGUUAAGCAUGCCGCCUGGGAAGUACGAUCGCAAGAUUGAAACUUAAAGGAAUUGGCGGGGGAGCACCACCAGGCGUGAAGC